rnacentral:rRNA from 1 species
CGAACCCUUCGGGGUUAGUGGCGCACGGGUGCGUAACGCGUGGGAACCUGCCUUUAGGUUCGGAAUAACAGUUAGAAAUGACUGCUAAUACCGGAUAAUGUCUUCGGACCAAAGAUUUAUCGCCUUUAGAUGGGCCCGCGUUAGAUUAGAUAGUUGGUGGGGUAAUGGCCUACCAAGUCGACGAUCUAUAGCUGGUCUGAGAGGAUGAUCAGCCACACUGGGACUGAGACACGGCCCAGACUCCUACGGGAGGCAGCAGUGGGGAAUAUUGGACAAUGGGCGAAAGCCUGAUCCAGCAAUGCCGCGUGAGUGAUGAAGGCCUUAGGGUUGUAAAGCUCUUUUACCAGGGAUGAUAAUGACAGUACCUGGAGAAUAAGCUCCGGCUAACUC